rnacentral:rRNA from 1 species
UAACCUGCCCAAGAGAUCGGGAUAACACCUGGAAACAGAUGCUAAUACCGGAUAACAACAGAUGAUGCCUAUCAACUGUUUAAAAGAUGGUUCUGCUAUCACUCUUGGAUGGACCUGCGGUGCAUUAGCUAGUUGGUAGGGUAACGGCCUACAAAGGCGAUGAUGCAUAGCCGAGUUGAGAGACUGAUCGGCCACAUUGGGACUGAGACACGGCCCAAACUCCUACGGGAGGCAGCAGAG